rnacentral:rRNA from 1 species
UACGGGGGGGGCAAGCGUUGUUCGGAAUUACUGGGCGUAAAGCGAGUGUAGGUGGUUGUCAUAGUCAGGUGUGAAAGCCUUGAGCUCAACUCAAGAAAUGCACUUGAUACUGGGCGACUAGAGGACCGGAGAGGAUAGUGGAAUUCCCAGUGUAGUGGUGAAAUACGUAGAGAUUGGGAAGAACACCAGUGGCGAAGGCGGCUAUCUGGACGGUUUCUGACACUAAGACUCGAAAGCGUGGGGAGCAAACAGG